UUUAGUAGUGGAACUACAUACUGCGACUACCAGUUACAAGGAAUGACCCCUAUUUCUAAUCUUAAUCUUGACUUAGAUGCCACAAUAUUAUCCCAUUUCACCACCAUUUAAUAGUGACACUAGCUCAUUGCAUCGUCCCUCUGCGAGAACCCUUUUUAAGCUUUGUCAUUAAAUACUGAGAAAGAAAUAGGCUUUGGUUUGUCCACAAUUUCUUAAAUUAUUUCGUAAUUUGCUUCUACUUUACGACGGGUUUGGUUUUUUUUGCUCUGGCCAGAGCUUUCUCCUCGUAUCGCGGCCGGCGACUGUUAUGUUAUGUUAUUGGAUGAGAGAGAUGCCUUAUUUUUGAGAAAGACGUAGCCUAAAGAAGGAGUACAAAUAAGUAAUAAUAUCGUCGCCCCCCGCACACGGACCGAGUGAGUGAGAAGUAUGAGUGAGGUGUGUUGGGUUCGUUCGGUUAGUGUGAAAUGGUUUUGCUACUUUCGACAGUAAAUUUGUGUCCACGACAGAAACUGCUGGGAAAGACUCAAAGCCUCAAAAAGUUGCCCCAUAAAUGACAACAUUCAAAAAAUAUAGAGGGGCGUGUUCUGCAGGGGGGAGUUCUGCUCCUGUUCUUGGCGUUGCAGACCCAGAACCUCCGCCAUGUCCUCGUCCUCCUCUGUCAUGGGGAGUCGUCCAUGAUCAUUUCCGUUUGGAUUGUUAUUCAUUUGAAGUCCUUAAAAGCAAAGGAUGAAGAAAACUAUGACGCCUCCUCCAUUAUGACAUUCCUCGAUGAUGACAAUAAAUUCCCGGGCGGGGAAGAAGAUGAGGAAGACGAGCAUGGAGCAACACUCCCACAACUACCGGUUCGCCUCCCUACAGCAUAGGCUUUUGACCUUU